GACGAACGCUGGCGGCGUGCUUAACACAUGCAAGUCGAACGGAAAGGCCCUGCUUUUGUUGGUUUCUCGAUUGGCGAACGGGUGUGUAACACGUGAGUAACCUGCCCUUGACUUUGUGAUAACUUUACGAAACUGGGGCUAAUACCGCAUAUGAUCUCCUGCUGCAUGUUGGUCGUUGGUGAGUUUCGGCGUUUGUGGAUCGUCUCGCUGCUUAUCAGCUUGUUUGUGGGGUAGUGGCUUACCAGGGCUUUGAGGGGUAGCCGGCCUGAGAGGGUUGCCGGGCACAUUGGGACUGAGAGACGGACCAGAAGGCAACGGGAGGCAGCAGGGGAGAGUAUUGCAGAGUGGGGGGGAGCCAGAGGUGGCAACGCCGGGAGCGGGAUAAUGGCCUUCGGGUUGAAAACAGAUUUGGCAGGUGAUGAAGAGGGAGUGACGGUAAUGGAUAAAGAAGCAACGGCUAACUACGUG
rnacentral:rRNA from 1 species